rnacentral:rRNA from 1 species
AUUGAACGCUGGCGGCAUGCCUUACACAUGCAAGUCGAACGGCAGCACGGGAGCAAUCCUGGUGGCGAGUGGCGAACGGGUGAGUAAUAUAUCGGAACGUGCCCAGUCGUGGGGAUAACGUAGCGAAAGCUACGCUAAUACCGCAUACGAUCUAUGGAUGAAAGCGGGGGGAUCGCAAGACCUCGCGCGAUUGGAGCGGCCGAUAUCAGAUUAGGUAGUUGGUGAGGUAAAGGCUCACCAAGCCGACGAUCUGUAGCUGGUCUGAGAGGACGACCAGCCACACUGGGACUGAGACACGGCCCAGACUCCUACGGGAGGCAGCAGUGGGGAAUUUUGGGAC